rnacentral:rRNA from 1 species
UACGUAGGGUGCAAGCGUUAAUCGGAAUUACUGGGCGUAAAGCGUGCGCAGGCGGCUAUGCAAGACAGAUGUGAAAUCCCCGGGCUCAACCUGGGAACUGCAUUUGUGACUGCAUAGCUAGAGUAUGGUAGAGGGGGAUGGAAUUCCGCGUGUAGCAGUGAAAUGCGUAGAUAUGCGGAGGAACACCGAUGGCGAAGGCAAUCCCCUGGACCUGUACUGACGCUCAUGCACGAAAGCGUGGGGAGCAAACAGG